rnacentral:lncRNA from 1 species
GUUGAAAUUAAAAUAGCAGUCAUUCUAUAACUUGAACAAUCAUGGAUAGAGUAUAACUCUGAGGUGUUCAAUAAUAUAUGCCCUAUUAUGGAAUAUAAGAUACAUUCCCACAUUAUAUAAUAAUAUGUCACCUAGAUAGUAAGAUAUUAAGAGAGUUUCCAACAGCUAUAGAAAAGCAAAUGUAAUUAUGACAAUCCUUAGGAUCAUUCUUUAUCUACUUAACAUAUAAUGAUCUAUUAAACACCUGUGGUGCAGAGAUGGCUCUAUGACAUGGGCAUCUUCUGUGAUACAGAGGUAUUGUUGGGAAGCAUCUGGCUGUCCAGCCACAGGAUUUGUGAACAUCCUUGCACCAGGUAAGGCCAUGUUUCUGAGUUCUGGCCAAUAGAUUAUAGGCAGAACUGAUGUAUGCCACUUUAAAAACCCCUAUACUUACAAAAAUCCCUAGAGGACCAUCCACUGUCUCACUCUUCCCUGUCUGUGGACUAGAUGUUAAUGUUGAAGAUUUCCUUAGAAGCCAUUGAAAAAUUUCACAAGUUGAGGAUGGAAGAGACGUGGUCUUCUUCAAUUCCUGAGCGACAGUGUGGAUCACAUCAGGACAUUGCAUCAUAGAAAGUUUAAAAAAACUAUGAAUUUCUGUCCUGAUUUGAGACCUCAAAAAAUCAUGGAUACAUAAUGGAAUUCAUUGCCUCCGCAAGUUUCUCAGUUCUUGCCUGUCCAGAGGAAACAACUAUCAUCUUCCUCGGAAUUAAUGUAUUUGUCUGCUUCCAGCUUUAUUACAAAAGCAAAUUCGUGAAAAGUUCUAAUAGAAAAUGCAUAUCCUACAUCAUAUUGGAAGAGCCAAGGGGCUUUCUUUAACACUGAUAUUGAAAGAACAGUAGUAACACAGAACUGUAGAAGACUGUGGGAUUUUUGGUAAAGUAAAAAAGUUUUAUAUACCUCAAUACUUUCAAAUAAAUCCACUUUCAAUCUCUCAUGUAAAUGGCAAAUAAAGGGUUAUUAGUAUUUAAUUGGGCAAAUUGAUUCCUUUUAUGACAUAUUGCAGACAUCAGACUUUAUCACGAUAAAUCUGAUUUCAAAUAUCUGAAUUAAUUUUAUAAUCUGCUUAUAAUUAC